rnacentral:precursor_RNA from 1 species
UUUUUUGCUCCACAUAUGCAUGCUUUCUACGAUUCGGAGAUCAGUGCAGCCCAAAGAUCACAUUGGAUUCUCCUCACUACACUCCAUCUUCUAACCUAGUCUGCAUCACGGCUAGGUGCAUCCGUUGCCAAGUUCAUCCAAUAUAUGCCAACCGCAUUGCAAGGACGACCAUAUGCACACACACACCACAGUCCACAGGAGACAGAUAGCUAGCUAGCUUACUCUUUAGUCAUACAUACACUUAUAAAUAGCCACCGGCUCUGUGCUCAUCAGCAAGGCAGAUUAAACAAGUGAAGUGGUCCACAUCAAAAAUGAAGUAAUCAGGUCUAGGGAGUCAAAAUUUGGUUGGUUGUCCACUGGAGUUCUCCUCAAUCCACUUCAGUAGAUAGCUAUGGCUAGGCCUCAUUGCAUUGCACUGUUACAUAACUGUGAUCAUGGGGCCAAAAGCUAGCUAUGUAUAGUGAAGUGCUUGGGGGAACUCCAGUUGACACUCAGCAUUUUCAAGUUAGGUAUGUAAGUGCUUGUACUUUAUGAAUUUGUAAGUGACAGAGAAUGAUUAGGUUUGGAGUCCCUAGGAGUUCCUUUCAAGCACUUUACGACACACUGUAUUGAGAGUUGUCGUGAAGUGUUUGGGGGAACUCUUAGUG